rnacentral:rRNA from 1 species
GACAGAGGUGCCGAGCGUUAGGCGGAAUCACUGGGCUUAAAGCGUGUGUAGGCGGACCGUUAAGUGUCUUGUGAAAUCCCCCGGCUCAACCGGGGAACGGCUGGGCAUACUGGCGGUCUUGAGAGGCCUAGGGGCGAGCGGAACAGGCGGUGGAGCGGUGAAAUGCGUAGAUAUCGCCUGGAACGCCGACGGUGAAAACAGCUCGCUGGGGGCCUUCUGACGCUGAGACACGAAAGCGUGGGGAGCGAACAGG